GUGUCUCUGUGAUAACAAUAAAGAAUUUGACUGCCCUUUGUCCCUGGUUCCUAGGAGGGAAACUAAAUCCUUGGAAUCUCCUGAGUAAUAUGAGUAUCUUUGUUAUUCAUGAGCCCCUUGGAUCACAUCUGGGCUUAUGCUAAGAGAGAACUCACGAUGGGAGGUUGGUCAUCAGAAAGAUCACAUAAUAAAAGGAUUGGGCCUUAGAGCCAGCCCAACCUCGACGGAGGGUGGGAGGACUAGAGAUUGCGUUCAAUUCGGUGGCAAAUGAGUCAACCAAUUGUGCCUAUGUAAUGAAAACUCUGGACGCCAAAAUUUGGUGGAGCUUCCUGGUUGGUGAACACAUCCAUGUGCCAGGAGGGUGACACAGCCUGAUUCACAGAGAGAAGACACAGAAGCUCUGCAUGGGAGAUCCGCCCAGACCCCGCCCUACGUGUGUCUUCAUUAGUCUGGUCCUCCUGAUUUGUAUCCAUUGUAACAAGCCUGUAAUCAACUUUCUCAGUUGUGUGUGUGAGUACGCCUGGCUUUUCAUCAAAGAGCUUUGCCGUCGUGAUGCUUCCUUUUCUGUGAACACAGCAAUAAAUAGAUUCUGCAAAACAAAUGAAGAUGGAGCCCAUCCAGAACCCAGCUGUGCUGCUGCAAGAGACAGGGUCUCACUCUGUCGCCCUGGCUGGAGUAAAUAGCUCCCUGCAGCCUCAAACUACUGGGAUCCACUUCAGCCUCCUGAGUAGCCAAGAGAAAGGACUUUGUGCUCCUUCACCUCAGAAACCUGAACUCAGAAUUUCCUUGUAGACACUUUUCAGGCCUUUGUUUGCUGGAGACUGGAGUUCCCUGAGAGGAUUAAGGGUGUGGUGGGGAGUGUCUAAAGGAGCCCAGUGCCUUGAGGGCAGCCAAGAAGACAGAGGCCCUGUACUGGAUACCAGCUGAGGUAGGUGGAUCCCUGUGGGGUGGAGACCAUCCCCAGCUCCACAGCCCCAGGCAUGUCAAGGGCUAUCAUCAAGGCCUCAGAGGAGACCAGCUGCCUGGGGCACCUCAGGAAGCUGUACCCUGACACCUGGACUCCAGAGUCCACAAAUAUAUCUGUACCCAAACCAGUGGGCAAGCAAAGAAGCCCUUGCCUUUGGGAGACCUCAGGAUGUUGACCAUGAGAACAUCAUGGAUGGGCGCGGUGGCUCGCUCCUGUAAUCCCAGCACUUUGGGAGGCCAAGGCAGGUGGAUCACCUGAGGUUAGGAGUUCGAGACCAGCCUGGCCAACAUGGUAAAACCCUGUCUCUACUAAAAAUACAGAAAUUAGCCAGGCACAGUGGCAGGUGCCUGUAAUCCCAGCUACUCGGGCGGCUGAGGCAGGAGAAUCACUUGAACCUGGGAGGCAGAGGUUGCAGUGAGCCAAGAUCAUAUCACUGUGCUCCAGCUUGGGCAACAAGACAGAAACUCCAUCUCGAAAAAAAAAAAAAAGAAAAGAAAUCAUGGACUCCAAAAGGCCUGAAGUGGAGAGUCCUGAAGCCAUCUCAGACCAUGAGGCCACCCUAAGGGUAGAAGGAAGCACACUAAGAUGACAGGAACAGAAGACAGGAGCCUGGGUCCAUCAUGCCAGGGAGCCUCCACACCUGCCCUGGACGUUUCAUCUCAGACCUCGUGGACAAAGCAGAGAAAUAAAUAUCUACCUUGUUUAAGCCACUUAUUUUCAAUUUUUGGUUUCAAGCAGGCUUUUCAUGAAGGUCCCAGUCUGACAGCAUUAAUUGGUGGGCUAGAAUUUGUGGACGGUUUCCAUGUAUGUAUUCUGCAAAACCAUCCAUAAGAAAGAGUUGAACAAGUCUUGGGACUAGCUAGAGAAGUGGGCAAAGAAAGAGAGGAAGUGGCCGGGUGCGGUGGCUCACGCCUGUAAUCCCAGCACUUUGGGAUGCUCAGGCAGGCAGAUCACGAGAUCAAGAGAUUGAGACCAUCCUGGCCAACAUGGUGAAACCCCGUCUCUACUGAAAAUACAAAAA